rnacentral:rRNA from 1 species
UACAGAGGGGGGCAAGCGUUAUUCGGAAUUAUUGGGCGUAAAGGGCGCGUAGGCGGCUUUUUCAAGUGACGGGUGAAAUCCCUCGGCUUAACCGAGGAACUGCCUGUCAGACUGGAAGGCUUGGGACCGGGGAGAGGUGAGUGGAAUUCCCCAGUGUAGCGGUGAAAAAUGCGUAGAUAUUUGGGGAGGAAACACCCAGUGGC